rnacentral:rRNA from 1 species
UACGAAGGGGGCUAGCGUUGCUCGGAAUUACUGGGCGUAAAGGGCGCGUAGGCGGACAGUUAAGUCAGAGGUGAAAGCCCAGGGCUCAACCCUGGAAUAGCCUUUGAUACUGGCUGUCUUGAGUGCGGGAGAGGUGUGUGGAACUCCGAGUGUAGAGGUGAAAUUCGUAGAUAUUCGGAAGAACACCAGUGGCGAAGGCAACACACUGGCCCGUAACUGACGCUGAGGCGCGAAAGCGUGGGGAGCAAACAGG